UAGGGAAUCUUCGGCAAUGGACGGAANNNUGGACCGAGCAACCNCGCGUGAGUGAAGAAGGUUUUCGGAUCGUAAAGCUCUGUUGUAAGAGAAGAACGAGUGUGAGAGUGGAAAGUUCACACUGUGACGGUAUCUUACCAGAAAGGGACGGCUAACUACGUGCCAGCAGCCGCGGUAAUACGUAGGUCCCGAGCGUUGUCCGGAUUUAUUGGGCGUAAAGCGAGCGCAGGCGGUUAGAUAAGUCUGAAGUUAAAGGCUGUGGCUUAACCAUAGUACGCUUUGGAAACUGUUUAACUUGAGUGCAAGAGGGGAGAGUGGAAUUCCAUGUGUAGCGGUGAAAUGCGUAGAUAUAUGGAGGAACACCGGUGGCGAAAGCGGCUCUCUGGCUUGUAACUGACGCUGAGGCUCGAAAGCGUGGGGAGCAAACAGGAUUAGAUACCCUGGUAGUCCACGCCGUAAACGAUGAGUGCUAGGUGUUAGACCCUUUCCGGGGUUUAGUGCCGCAGCUAACGCAUUAAGCACUCCGCCUGGGGAGUACGACCGCAAGNUG
rnacentral:rRNA from 1 species